GGAGAUGCCCCGACUAAGAACACAUCUGCGGCACUAAUUUCAUCAGCGUUUCUGUCUUCAGGAAUUCAAGGUCUAAUUUUGCUUAUCUAACAACAGUCCAGUUGGGGGAAAUGAAAGGGUCCAUUGAUCACUCUGUUGGGUGAGAGAACAGGAUGACCCAUGCUGAAGGAUGUCACACUAUCACACUGAGUUUGCAGGCAGCGAGAGACCACUGAGGUCACUCCCGUCUCGGGAUGGCAUCUUGGCAGAUGAGCUGAUGGAUUAAAAAGCUGAGAUAUUUGGGGAAGAAAGAUAUUCACUCUCAAAAAUGUUGUUUCUGAGGAUCCUGUUUUCUAGAGAAAAUGUUACAAACUCAAAUUGUUGCAGGGACCAAACAGGUAACAUCAGUGUGGAUAAAGUGGGCCAGAAAUAACAAAAGGGAGUGAAGGGUCAGAGUGAACCA